GUCCGUGUACUGCUGCAAUAGCUCAGUUGGUAGAGCAUUGGACUCUCAGCGUUGUGGGUUCGAGCCCCAUGUCGGGCA